AACGCACAUUGCGCCCCCUGGCAUUCCGGGGGGCACACCUGUUCGAGCGCCAUUUCGACCCUCAAGCAUAGCUUGGUGUUGGGCUUGGUCCCGUGGGGACCUGCCCGUAACUCGUAGGCGGCUGUCGCCCGCGCCCCCAGUGUAGCAAGCUCACGCGUUCGCUCGGGGACGGCGCGUCUGGCCCGCCAGGCAAAACCCAAACCCUUCCCAAGGUUUGGCCUCGGAUCAGGUGGGGAUACCCGCUGAACUUAA
rnacentral:misc_RNA from 1 species